CCAUAAGUUAAGAUGGGUCUUAUAUAUGCUAUGUACAAUCUUACUUUAGAUUCUCUAGAAAGUAUUUUUGAUUUAAAUAGACUUACCAAGGAGAAAUAAGUUCGAUUGACGUUAUUGAUUUUUUGUUAUAUCUCCUGGUGUAUGCUAUUUCUACUGUUAAUUAGUGUGCCCAGAUAUUUGAAGCUAUCCAUGCGUUCAAAUAUGUAACGACC